GUACCUUUCUCGGCCUGACUAAUAUCUGUUCUUAUUAAUUUAAUAUCUGAUAUGUGGGUCAUUGGCUUAUACGAUAUUAAAUAUAUUUUUUGAUGGGCAAGGUCCAUCAUAGUAACUUACUACUUGGGUCUUAAAACAUUGCCUGGGUCUUCAAGCGUUGCCCAUGCGUUGCACUACACUACUGCACGGCCUUGCGCACCACAC